UAAGUACUCCCUCUGUCUCAAAUUAGUUGUCUUAGAUUUCUCUAGAUAAGCAUGUAUUUAGAUAUGUUUUUUGUGUUAGAUACAUCCGUAUCUAGACAGAUCUAAAACAACUAAUUUGGGACGGGGGUAGUACCAU
rfam:Hordeum vulgare subsp. vulgare, WGS project CAJW01000000 data, contig: morex_contig_2548444